ACGGGUGAGUAAUGUCUGGGGAUCUGCCCGAUAGAGGGGGAUAACCACUGGAAACGGUGGCUAAUACCGCAUAACGUCGCAAGACCAAAGAGGGGGACCUUCGGGCCUCUCACUAUCGGAUGAACCCAGAUGGGAUUAGCUAGUAGGCGGGGUAACGGCCCACCUAGGCGACGAUCCCUAGCUGGUCUGAGAGGAUGACCAGCCACACUGGAACUGAGACACGGUCCAGACUCCUACGGGAGGCAGCAGUGGGGAAUAUUGCACAAUGGGCGCAAGCCUGAUGCAGCCAUGCCGCGUGUAUGAAGAAGGCCUUCGGGUUGUAGAGUACUUUCAGCGGGGAGGAAGGCGAUGUGGUUAAUAACCGCAUUGAUUGACGUUACCCGCAGAAGAAGCACCGGCUAACUCCGUGCCAGCAGCCGCGGUAAUACGGAGGGUGCAAGCGUUAAUCGGAAUUACUGGGCGUAAAGCGCACGCAGGCGGUCUGUUAAGUCAGAUGUGAAAUCCCCGGGCUUAACCUGGGAACUGCAUUUGAAACUGGCAGGCUUGAGUCUCGUAGAGGGGGGUAGAAUUCCAGGUGUAGCG
rnacentral:rRNA from 1 species